rnacentral:lncRNA from 1 species
UAAAAACACCCUGGCUUUUUGUUUUUUACAGUAAGGUUUUUGAUAAAUAAAAAUUCUUUAAUAAACAUAAAAACUAUUCAGAUUUUCCUGAUUUCUUGAGGAAGGUUUUGUUUUGUUUUGUUUUGUUUUUUGAGACGGAUUUUCUCUCACCUAUUUUGUAAUAAUAUAGUAAUAAUAUGGAUAAUAAUAUGUACAAUUACCUAUUAAUAUUGUACCUAUUAUUACCUAUAUUCACCACACUGUGAAACGUAUCUUUAAAAAAUCCUUCCUGUCUGAGAUUUUGUACCAUUUGAUCAUCAUCUUUCCAUUCUCCUUACUCUCCAGUCCCUGUAACCACCAUUCUUAUUCUCUGCUUCUAUGAGUUUGAUUGUUUUAAAUUCCACAUACAAGUAAGCACAUAGAGUACUUGUCUUUCUGUUGCUGGCUUACUUCACUUAGCAUAAUGUCCUUCAGGUUAAUCUACAUUGCCUCAAAUGACAAUUCCCUUCUUUUCUAAGGCUAAAUAAUAUUUCAUUGUGUGUAUAUACAGCAUUUUCUUUAUCCAUUCUUGGCUAUUGUAACUAGUGCUGUAAUGAACAUCUGAUUGCAGACAUCUUUACAAAUAGAUUUUAAAUAUUUUGGGUAAAUAUAAGUGGGAAUGUUGGAUCAUAUAGUAAUUCUACUUUUAGUUUUUUUGAGAAAUUUCCAUAGAACUUUCCAA